CCUACGGGGGGCUGCAGUGGGGAAUAUUGGACAAUGGGCGCAAGCCUGAUCCAGCAAUACCGCGUGUGUGAAGAAGGCCUUAGGGUUGUAAAGCACUUUCAAUGGGGAGGAAAACCUACCGGUCAAUACCCGGUAGCUUGACAUUACCUGUAGAAGAAGCACCGGCUAACUCCGUGCCAGCAGCCGCGGUAAUACGGAGCGUGCAAGCGUUAAUCGGAGUGACUGGGGGUAGUUCGUUAAGUCGCGUGUCAAAGCCCCGGGCUUAACCUGGGAACUGCAUUUGGAACUGGCGGACUAGAUGUGAGUAGAGGGGAGUGGAAUUUCAGGUGUAGCGGUGAAAUGCGUAGAUAUCUGAAGGAACACCAGUGGCGAAGGCGACUCCCUGGACUCAAACUGACGCUGAGGUACGAAAGCGUGGGUAGCAAACAGGAUUAGAUACCCGUGUAGUC
rnacentral:rRNA from 1 species